AACGCACAUUGCGCCCUUUGGUAUUCCGAGGGGCAUGCCUGUUCGAGCGUCAUUACAACCCUCAAGCUCUGCUUGGUAUUCAGCACUGUCUCUGGGGCAGGCUGCAAAAGCAAUGGCGGCCGGUAGUUGGCUCCAAGCGUAGUACAAUCUCUUGCUAUGGAACCUGCUAUCGACCUGCUAUCGACCUGCUAGCAGGUUUUUUCAUAUAGGUUGACCUCGGAUCAGGUAGGGAUACCCGCUGAACUUAA
rnacentral:misc_RNA from 1 species